rnacentral:rRNA from 1 species
GGGUGAGUAAUGCAUAGGAAUCUGCCCAGUAGUGGGGGACAACUCGGGGAAACUCGAGCUAAUACCGCAUAUUUCCUACGGGAGAAAGACUUCGGUCGCUAUUGGAUGAGCCUAUGUCAGAUUAGCUUGUUGGUAGGGUAAUGGCCUACCAAGGCGACGAUCUGUAGCUGGUCUGAGAGGAUGAUCAGCCACACUGGGACUGAGACACGGCCCAGACUCCUACGGGAGGCAGCAGUGGGGAAUAUUGGACAAUGGGCGAAAGCCUGAUCCAGCAAUGCAGCGUGUGUGAAGAAGGCCUGAGGGUUGUAAAGCACUUUCAGUAGGGA